UAUUUACCAUUUAAUAUUUAAGCACAAUGCAUUGCAAGUUAGAUUUUCUAUCUCAGGUUUGUAUAAAAAGAAAUAAAACUCCAGAGAUGGUAAAUGACCUUGCUCAAGGUCACAGUGAUUGGAGACAGAACUGAAGUAUUUUGACGUCCACUUUCAGCUCUGCUGGUAACUUUCUAAGAAAAACGGUGUCAACUAUAGCAGGCAUUUUCAAUGUAUCAAGUGACUACUUACAUGGGUAGUUCUUUUUCUUGUGGUUGUUUUGCAGGCAAUCUUAGCAGUUUAGUUGUACUUUGUUCUUUAUUGACGGCUAGCAAGUUCAUUAAUUAUGGAAGGAGUGAUGUCCAUUUGAUUGUAAAAGUAUGAAUAAUGUCUCAAAUGUAUAGGCGGCAGAAAUCUGAAGGUAAAUUGUACCUGUUCCUGAGAAGGGAGGUUCUCUUUACAGCCACUGUGUGCUGGUAACAGGGCAAUUUUCUUGUAAUCUCAGGUCUCUCAUUUACCAUAAGCAAGAUGCCUAAUUGUUUUAUGAAUAAUUGCGGUGUCUACAUAAUUUGCAUAGAUUGUCCACUUUUAACCUUUUGGCUAUAGAAAGUGGCUUUUAAAUUAAAUUUAAAAUUUGUUUUUCUAAUUAUAAAAGAAAUACAUGUGUAGAGCAAAAACUUUACCUAGAAAAGUGUCUAGGGCUGAAUUUCACCACUUUGAAUACUUUGGUGUACUCACAAACAUACACACAAUCACACACAUCCUUACACACAUGCAUGCACACACAAAGCAUAAUAUGCAUAUUCUAUCACAGACUCCUUUUUUCAGUUAGCAGAAUAUCAUGCACAUGUCCUAGUCAACAAGUAAUGUAUAAUAUCAUGUUUAAUAGCUGCAUAAUAUUACAUUGCAUGGAUUUAUAUUCUUUACAUUACUAGUCUGUUAUCAAACAUGUAGGGUAUUUCCAUUUUGAAUCUCUCUGAAAUACUUUGAUGAACACCUAGUAUAUAUAUGAUAGAGAUGGUCAUGAUUUGUUAUUUUUUUAAGUUUAUUUCUAUAGAUUUUUUUGAAAAUAAAAGACUAUUUCUGAUAAAGUAGGGGUCCCUUUUGUUCUUCUUAUUUCCCUCUUUCAAAAUUUUUCCAGAGUUAAUCCAUAAAUAAUAAAUGAUAUCAUUUUACACAUUUAGAAAAGUCGACAUAGGUGCUAUUGUCCCAGGGAUGCUGGAGAUGGUUAUGCCGAGUGCAACCAAGUAUGGUGAUUCUCUGUUAGUCUCUGUGAGUUAUUGGUCAGUCUCUUGUUAUUUAGCAACUUUCUUUUUUUUUUAAAAGAAAAGUUUUAUGUAAUUAAUUUUUUAUUGUGGUAUAAUUGACAUACAACAUUAUAUUACUUUCA
rnacentral:lncRNA from 1 species